UACGUAGGGUGCAAGCGUUAAUCGGAAUUACUGGGCGUAAAGCGUGCGCAGGCGGUAAUGUAAGACAGGUGUGAAAUCCCAGGGCUCAACCUUGGAACUGCAUUUGUGACUGCAUUGCUGGAGUGCGGCAGAGGGGGAUGGAAUUCCGCGUGUAGCAGUGAAAUGCGUAGAUAUGCGGAGGAACACCGAUGGCGAAGGCAAUCCCCUGGGCCUGCACUGACGCUCAUGCACGAAAGCGUGGGGAGCAAACAGG
rnacentral:rRNA from 1 species